rnacentral:lncRNA from 1 species
GAGUCAUGUCAAGGUGAGUUCAGGUCUCCAUCCAUCAUUCUUAACCUUUCUUGCAAGUUGGCUGAUGAAGACAAGGAUCUCAUGAUUUCCACUAUGACGAUUUCCCAGGCGCAGUCACUGUAUUCCUUCUCUUUCAGGUAGACAUGGAUGCCCUGGAAGUACUUCUUCACGGCCAGUGUGGGGCCCAUCCUUCCCAGGGCAGAGUCUUCCUCUCCUGUCACCGGGCCCAGGCAGGCGUCCAGGUCAUCCAGCUGCUGAUGGAGUCCAGUGCGGAGCUGUUCCAGGAGGGUGGUGUCCCAGGCAGCAGAGGAGCGCUCUGUGUGGAAGAGGUUGAAGCUCUGCUGGAGCAUCUCAUGGAGCACAGAGAUGGCCUGGGCCUCCUGGAGCUGGCCACCCUCCACCAUCUCCUGGGGAGAUGCAAAGACACCAUGAUGGAAUUUAAGAACUUCCCUGGAUUGCAUUGUCCCCAGGCACCUCUUGCCCUGCUCUGUGAUAACUUGCUGGGUCCUAAGGAAGAAAGAAGUCUGCAGCUGUGA